GAAACACAUAGUGGAAACAACGGGGACUUUGCAGUUCUUUCAUGCCUUAUGACUCACUGUGUGACCUGGGGGGAUGUUAGUUCUGAAAUUAGAAAGACCUGCAUUAAUGAAAGAAGAAUUAACAACAAAAGAACUCCACAAAAUGUAAACUUUCUCCCUGCCCUAGGAACUUAUCUUUUCCUGCAAAGUCACUUAGGAUCAAAGUUCUACUGAAGGGGGAGCACUUUGUAUCCUCUGACCAGUGUUCAAGAACCAGCAGUAGCCUGAGUGGCAGUCAAGUGAAGGGAAACCUCAUGGCAGAAGUGGGAUCCAGAGGAGACGCCCGAAGACUCCAAGGCCUGUAAGCAAACAGGUGCUGGUACCCCCCACAGAGCUCACUGAGCUCCUUGCUUUCUUGCCAAACCUGGAAUUUGAGAAUAAGUCUUUCUUGUAUCCAAGCUCUGUUUUCCUUGCAUUUUGGGCUUGUGAAUAGCUUGUGCAUUAAGCAUCUUGUGCAUAACUGUAUUUUGUUUAGUGAAGCUUCUGGUCCCCUUCUGUUCAAAAGUGACUCCCUGUGUUUUGGAACAGUUGUUGGAAAACAGGACUCCUCGUAACUAAGAUGUCUUAGGGAAUCUAAAGGCAAAGAUGGGUUUGACCUGGUCUAUGGACCAGGAUCUUGUGCCUUUUAAGAAAAUGUAUGAUCUUCUGAAACUGUACUGGCCAAAUUAGAGAAACUUUAACUUAGAAAGUCUACCUUCAGGGGCACCCUCAAAAGAUUCCAAACCCCUUGGAGACAAUGGAGUGCAUUCUUUGAUUGGUAUUUAGAAGUCCUAACAGACCAGACUGCUCUGAAAAUAGCUUUAAAAAGACCCUGGCAACAUAGAAAUGAAAAAUCUUUAGUAAAAACUC